GACGAACGCUGGCGGCGUGCCUAAUACAUGCAAGUUGAGCGCUGAAGGUUGGUACUUGUACCUACUGGAUGAGCAGCGAACGGGUGAGUAACGCGUGGGUAAUCUGCCUUUGAGCGGGGGACAACAUUUGGAAACGAAUGCUAAUACCGCAUAAAAACUUUAAACACAAGUUUUAAGUUUGAAAGAUGCAAUUGCAUCACUCAAAGAUGAUCCCGCGUUGUAUUAGCUAGUUGGUGAGGUAAAGGCUCACCAAGGCGAUGAUACAUAGCCGACCUGAGAGGGUGGUCGGCCACAUUGGGACUGAGACACGGCCCAAAACCCUACGGGAGGCAGCAGUAGGGAAUCUUCGGAAAUGGACGAAAGUCUGACCGAGCAACGCCGCGUGAGGGAAGAAGGGUCUCGGAUCGUAAAAAUCCGUUGGUAGAGAAGAACGUUGGUGAGAGUGGAAAGCUCAUCAAGUGACGGUAACUACACAGAAAGGGACGGCUAACUACGUG
rnacentral:rRNA from 1 species